UGAGACUGUCCUGGCUCACAUUGAACGCUGGCGGCAGGCCUAACACAUGCAAGUCGGGCGGCAGCGCGGGGGCAACCCUGGCGGCGAGCGGCGAACGGGUGAGUAAUACAUGGGAAUCUACCUGGUAGUGGGGGAUAACUUCGGGAAACUGGAGGUAAUACCGCAUACGUCCUACGGGAGAAAGGGGGGGAUCUUCGGACCUCUCGCUAUCAGAGGAGCCCAUGUCCGAUUAGCUAGUUGGUGAGGUAAAGGCUCACCAAGGCGACGAUCGGUAACUGGUCUGAGAGGAUGGUCAGUCACACUGGAACUGAGACACGGUCCAGACUCCUACGGGAGGCAGCAGUGGGGAAUAUUGGACAAUGGGGGCAACCCUGAUCCAGCCAUGCCGCGUGUGUGAAGAAGGCCUUCGGGUUGUAAAGCACUUUAAGCAGGGAGGAAGGCUCGUACGUUAAUAGCGUGCGGGAGUGACGUUACCUGCAGAAUAAGCACCGGCAAACUCCGUGCCAGCAGCCGCGGUAAUACAAGCCGAAUUCCACACACUA
rnacentral:rRNA from 1 species